GUUCUCCUUUCGGUAAGGGCCCAGGUAGACCACCUGGUUGAUAGGCCGCAGGUGCAAGGCGUGCGAGCGCCUCAGCCGAGCGGCACUAAUCGCCCGAGCUCUUC
rnacentral:rRNA from 1 species